rnacentral:rRNA from 1 species
UAUUCCGGUUGAUCCUGGCGGCGGCCACCGCUAUAGGAAUUCGAUUAAGACAUGCGAGUCGAGAGUCGUAAUGGACUCGGCGGACUGCUCAGUAACACGUGGAUAACGUGCCCUUAAGUGGAGGAUAAUCUCGGGAAAUUGAGGAUAAUACUCCAUAGACUACGAAAUCUGGAAUGAUUCAUAGUUGAAAGUUCCGGCGCUUAAGGAUCGGUCUGCGGCCUAUCAGGUUGUAGUGGGUGUAACGUACCUACUAGCCUAUGACGGGUAUGGGCCUUGAGAGAGGGAGCCCAGAGUUGGAUUCUGAGACACGAAUCCAGGCCCUACGGGGCGCAGCAGUCGCGAAAACUUCACAAUGGGGGCAACCCCGAUGAGGGAAUUCCUAGUGCUAGCACAAUUGUGUUAGCUUUUCUCUAGCGUAGAUAACUGGAGGAAUAAGGGCUGGGAAAGACGGGUGCCAGCAGCCGCGGUAA